rnacentral:rRNA from 1 species
CCGGAGUGACGGGUACACUGUGGGGACCGCCGCUGCUAAAGCGGAGGAAGGAAUGGGCAACGGUAGGUCAGUAUGCCCCGAAUAUCCCGGGCUACACGCGAGCUACAAUGGUUGGUACAAUGGGUAUCUACCCCGAAAGGGGAUGGAAAUCUCCUAAAGCCAAUCUUAGUCCGGAUUGAGGGCUGCAACUCGCCCUCAUGAAGCUGGAAUCCGUAGUAAUCGCGUUUCAACAGAACGCGGUGAAUACGUCCCUGCUCCUU